GUAAAAAUUCAGCUUUAGGGAAAGCAAUUCAGUGCUAAAAAUGAAUAUCAUAAAAUGCCAUUGAAUUUCUAUAAGAAUCACAAUUGCUAUUUUUUCAGAACAUUUUAGACUUGAAUCUCAGAAAUUUCCUGCUCACUCAUUAAUCCAAAUUUAGUAAUUCUCUGUAACAGAGCUUCUUAAUUAUUAAAAAUGUUUACUUAAUAACUCAAAAGCUCUCAGCAAGGACCUACUCCAUAAAGCAAUUGAUUUCUGCAAAAUUAUCUAGCUUUCACCAAGAAGGGUAUGCAAUUAAUUACAGAAGUCUAGUUUUUGUGUGUGUAUACAAUAAUUAUUCCUUCCCUUACAUACCUAGGCCCUUACUGUGAAAUUUGGAGUUUCCUAGGG
rnacentral:lncRNA from 1 species